rnacentral:rRNA from 1 species
GGGGAUUCGUAAGAACCUCGCGUUAAUGGAGCGGCCGAUGUCGGAUUAGCUAGUUGGUGAGGUAAAGGCUCACCAAGGCGACGAUCCGUAGCUGGUCUGAGAGGACGACCAGCCACACUGGAACUGAGACACGGUCCAGACUCCUACGGGAGGCAGCAGUGGGGAAUUUUGGACAAUGGGCGAAAGCCUGAUCCAGCCAUGCCGCGUGAGUGAAGAAGGCCUUCGGGUUGUAAAGCUCUUUCGCAAGGAAAGAAAACUUAGUUACUAAUACUAGCUGAGGAUGACGGUACCUUGAUAAGAAGCACCGGCUAACUACGUGCCAGCAGCCGCGGUAAUACGUAGGGUGCGAGCGUUAAUCGGAAUUACUGGGCGUAAAGCGUGCGCAGGCGGUUUUGUAAGUCAGAUGUGAAAUCCCCGGGCUCAACCUGGGAACUGCGUUUGAAACUACAAGGCUAGAGUGUAGAAGAGGGGGGUAGAAUUCCACGUGUAGCAGUGAAAUGCGUAGAGAUGUGGAGGAAUACCGAUUGCGAAGGCAGCCCCCUGGGCUAACACUGACGCUCAUGCACGAAAGCGUGGGGAGCAAACAGGAUUAGAUACCCUGGUAGUCCACGCCCUAAACGAUGUCUACUAGUUGUUGGAGGAGUAAAAUCCUUUAGUAACGCAGCUAACGCGUGAAGUAGACC